rnacentral:lncRNA from 1 species
CCGGUAGAUUUGAGACCCGAGCAGGGAAAGGAAGGCAGGUAGAUAUGAGUCGGCACGCUAAGUUUAUAGCAAGAACGGUUUUAUGUGAACCUGGGAAAGUAGAGCAAGGGUUUAUGAAGUUAAGGAAAAUACUUGUGGUAGAUGGAAUAGAAAGGGACCUCCAGAAGCAAAAGCACAGCAUGAAGCCAUAUAUUGCCAAGGCAAGAAAAGUACAAGCAGUAAAAUCAACAAUAAUAAGGAAAGAAAUGAAAGUAAAAACAGAUUUUCUUACAUCUUUGAAAAAUAGGAGGAAUCCAUUUCCAAGAUAGCACAGAAGAGGAGGAUAUGAAGGAAAUAAGGAGACAUUUUCAAUGAUUGAAACUGUGAACUUCAAAUAUGCAGACUGGCAGUUUGAAUUAUUUGAUCGAACUUCAAAACUGCAAAGAAAAGCAGUAUUGACCCCUGAACUGAAAGUACGUUCAGUUUGUAUACCUCUACCAAAAAAGAUGGUUUCUUUGCACUUUGACCUAGGUGUGUAACACAGUUUAUGGUUUGCAGUACAUAUUGACUGCCUUAUAAAAGCACAACUAUACGAACUGAAAGAACAUUCGAUUACUUCAUGUACUGUCUUUAAGGAAAAAAUAGUUUCUUGGACAUUUAAUUCACACAUUAAACCACAGCUUUUAUAAAUUCUUUAUUUUUAAAACAAAGAUAUUUACAAAAGCUCGCAUACUAGAGUAC